rnacentral:rRNA from 2 species
UCAGGCAACGAAACUGCGAAUAGCUCAUUAAUACGCUCAGAAUCUAUUUGGCAGCGACCGCCAGGUCUUAAAUGGAUAGCAGAAGUAAUUCUUGUGCUAAUACAUGCGAUUGUUUCAUCCGAAGUGAAUUAAGAUGGAAAAGUUGACCGUCAGGCAUGCCAUUCGAUUGAGCGACCUAUCAGCUUGUACUUAGGGUCUUUACCUAGGUAGGCUAUCACGGGUAACGGGCGGUUACCGUCGGACUGCCGGAGAAGGCGCCUGAGAGAUAGCGACUAUAUCCACGGGUAGCAGCAGGCGCGAAACUUACCCACUCGAGACUUUCGGAGGUGGUAAUGACCAGUUUUAGAUCAGCUCCGUAAGGGGUUGUUUAAAUAGGAUCACACCUUUCCAGUGUGGUGGAACCUAGCAGAGGGCCAGUCUGGUGCCAGCAGCUGCGGUAAUUCCAGCUCUGCGAGUUUGCUCCCAUAUUGUUGCAGUUAAAACGCCCGUAGUCUGAACUACGAAAGUUCAAGCGAUUUCCAAUCGCGUUCACUGUGAACAAAUCAGGACGCUUAGAGUAGGGUUCUCAGAAUGACUCAGCGCAGUAUGAUAUUUUUACCUAAGGUAAAAUCAAGGAGAGCCAACGGGGGUAGAUCUAUUUCAUGGCGAGCGGUGGAAUGCUAUGACCCAUGAGAGAGAAACGAAGGCGAAAGCAUCUACCUAGCGGGUUUCUGUCGAUCAAGGGCGAGAGUAGGAGUAUCCAACCGGAUUAGAGACCCGGGUAGUUCCUACCUUAAACAAUGCCGACAAGGGCUUAUCUUUUCAUGAAGGUAGGACCUUAUGAGAAAUCAUAGUUCUUGGGCUCUGGGGGAACUACGACCGCAAGGCUGAAACUUGAAGGAAUUGACGGAAGGGCACACCAGGGGUGGAGCUUGUGGCUUAAUUUGAAUCAACACGGGGAAACUUACCAGGACCAGAUGUUUUUUAUGACUGACAGGCUGCCGGUCUUUCAGGAUUUGACUUUUGGUGGUGCAUGGCCGUUGGUGGUGCGUGGGUUGACCUGUCUAGCGUUGAUUCAGAUAACGAGCGAGAUUAUCACCAAUUAAAUAAUUCUAACUAAUUUUAGUUAAGAAUUUCUAAUUGGGACUCCCUGUGUCUAAACAGGAGGAAGAGGGUAGCAAUAACAGGUCCGUGAUGUCCUUUAGAUGCCCUGGGCUGCACGCGCGCUACAAUGUGAGGAUCAAUGAGUUAUAAGCUUGAAAAAGUCAAUCACUCUCUGAAGACCUCACGUAGUUGGGAUUGAUGAUUGUAAUCAUCAUCAUGAACUAGGAAUCCCUAGUAAACGUGCGUCAACAACGCACGUUGAAUACGUCCCUGCCCUUUGUACACACCGCCCGUCGCUCCUACCGAUUGAAUGAUUCGGUGAAAUCACCGGAGAGAAAAUCUCGAAGGUGAUUAAAUCAUAUUAUUUAGA